rfam:Glycine soja cultivar W05 scaffold2038_4, whole genome shotgun sequence.
CACCACCCGUUACACUAUGGGAGUUGGCCAUGCCUAAAGUCGUUACCUUAACAGCAAGGAGGGGGAUUUCGAAGGUAUGGAUAAUGAUUGGAGUGAAGUUGUAACAAGGUAGUCGUACUAGAAGGUGCAACUG